AGUGAACGCUGGCGGCAUGCCUAAUACAUGCAAGUCGAGCGAACGGACGAGAAGCUUGCUUCUCUGAUGUUAGCGGCGGACGGGUGAGUAACAAGUGGAUAGCCUACAUAUAUGACUGGGGUAACAUCGGGGAACAGUAGCUAAUACAGCAUAAUAGUUUGAACCGCAUGGUUCAAAAGUGAUAGACGGUCUUGCUGUCACAUAUAGAUGGAUCCGCGUUGCUUUAGCUAGUGGGUAGGUAACGGCCUACCAAGGCAACGAUGCAUAGCCGACCUGAGAGGAUGAUCGGCCACACUGGAACUGAGACACGGUCCAGACUCCUACGGGAGGCAGCAGUAGGGAAUCUUGCGCAAUGGGCGAAAGCCUGACGCAGCCACACCGCGUGAGUGAAGAAGGCCUUCGGGUCGUAAAGCCCUGUUGUUAGGAAAGAACAGCAGCAUGAUAAUCCCUCGCUGUCUUGACGGUACCUAAUGAAUAAGCACCGGCUAACUUCGUG
rnacentral:rRNA from 1 species